rnacentral:ncRNA from 1 species
CCACCCGAGGAGCGUUGCGACGGCCCCGGCAGGACGCACCCCGUCCCGCCGCGAACCGCCAGGCUCGGGUCGUCCAUCCAACAGCGCUCACCCGAC